rnacentral:tRNA from 1 species
GGGGCUGUGGCUCAGAGGUAGAGGGCUCAUCUAGCAUACGGGAGCUACUGGGUUCAACCCUCAGCACCACA